ensembl:lncRNA
GAGGGAGAGAGAGAGAGACCCUUCCCCCUAAUGGUUGAGGGGUAGGUCAUACUAUCUGAGGGGAGAGAGAGAGACCCUUCCCCCUAAUGGUUGAGGGGUAGGUCAUACUAUCUGAGGAGAGAGAGAGACCCUUCCCCCUAAUGGUUGAGGGAUAGGUCAUACUAUCUGAGGGGAGAGAGACCCUUCCCCUAAUGGUUGAGGGAUAGGUCAUACUAUCUGAGGGGAGAGAGAGAGAGAGAGAGAGAGAGACCCUUCCCCUAAUGGUUGAGGGUUAGGUCAUACUAUCUGAGGAGAGAGAGAGAGAGACCCUUCCCCCUAAUGGUUGAGGGGUAGGUCAUACUAUCUGAGGGGAGAGAGAGACCCUUCCGCCUAAUGGUUGAGUGGUAGGUCAUACUAUCUGAGGGGAGAGAGAGAGAGAGAGAGACCCUUCCCCCUAAUGGUUGAGGGUUAGGUCAUACUAUCUGAGGAGAGAGAGAGAGAGACCCUUCCCCCUAAUGGUUGAGGGGUAGGUCAUACUUUCUGAGGGGAGAGAGAGACCCUUCCCCCUAAUGGUUGAGGGUUUGGUCAUACUAUCCACCACCAUGUUUGACAGUGGGGAUGGUGUGUUCAGGGUGAUGAGCUGUGUUGCUUUUACGCCAAACAUAACGUUUUGCAUUGUUGCCAAAAAGUUCAAUUUUGGUUUCAUCUGACCAGAGCACCUUCUUCCACAUGUUUGGUGUGUCUCCCAGGUGGCAAACUUUAAACAACACUUUUUAUAGAUAUCUUUAAGAAAUGGCUUUUUUCUUGCCACUCUUCCAUAAAGGCCAGAUUUGUGCAAUAUACGACUGAUUGUUGUCCUAUGGACAGAGUCUCCCACCUCAGCUGUAGAUCUCUGCAGUUCAUCCAGAGUGAUCAUGGGCCCCUUGGCUGCAUCUCUGAUCAGUCUUCUCCUUGUAUGAGCUGAAAGUUUAGAGGGACGGCCAGGUCUUGGUAGAUUUGCAGUGGUCUGAUACUCCUUCCAAUUCAAUAUUAU